UCAUGAACCAACGGUCGCAUGGAGAUGACACCAGUGGCGUUGGGAAGUUCAUUGAAAGGCCUUUGGAGUACGUCGCAUCUAAUUUGACCCAUGAUGUCGUCAUCUUUCAGAAAAAUAAGGUCAGAGUUCACGUGUUUUCACCAAAUUUGACCUUUUUAUCGAAAAUGCAAUUACCGGUGACUCAUCAACCACAGGUCAAAACCAGGGACAAAUCUGAGGUCAUGCACCACAUCGUCAAGGUCAUACCACCAAUUCUCCUGAUUAUAUUUUUGAAUGACUAUAACUUUUAAAAAUUACGUACAGAAUUUGAUGGGAUUCGUCUCGGAGCUCCUCAUUCAAUAGGCCGUUGGGUUCAUAGAAUAAAAUCUGUGGCGAACUUUUCUGCGAGAUGCAACAUUAGGUGAAUUCUCUGAUUUCCAAAGGGAAACUGUCACGUCUGUUGUUCCCGCUGUUCUCCGCCCUGAUCGCGUGACUCUGGAGGCGAUGUCGCCGCUGCCGACGCCGCCGCGUCCGUUCAUCAGCUUCACAGCAGUGAUUGUUCUCCGGCUCCUUCCUGCAGCUCGGUGUCACACAGGCCGACCUGACAAAUCACUGCCGCCUCUGUUGGCCUCACGUCGGCCCCGCGGGGCCUCGACGCGUCCAAAGGGGGUUUAACACAAUCAGAACAGAGCUCAGACUGUCACUGUGUCCAGACUUCAGGGUUCCAUCAUCCUCAACAGUCUGAGGCUGAGAAGGAAAACCAGCGCCCACAAGGCCUCGAUCACUGUCGUCCCACCGCUCCGAUGAGUCGGAAGACAAAUCUGAGGGACCAUGAGAAGGUUGUUGCUGUGAGCAGAUGUACCACAUGAUGCACAGUAACCAAGGCAACCAGGAGAUCGUCGCUCUCCAUCGCGGAGAACGUAAAGAAACAAAGACGUGAUGGAAAUAGAAGCAAAAAGCAAGAGAUGACAUUAUUGAUGCUUUCUGGAAAGGACAAGUUUGAUGCUGAGCUCACAACGUUUGUGCCAGACUGAGCAUCCGGUGAACCGACACAUGGACAAGAGCGUUGACUCGAGUCGGAGGGGGCUGAGGGAAGUCCCACAAUGCACUGCCCUCGCAUCAACAACCGUUAAGGACAUUAUCAUCAUAUAUGAUAAUCAAGAGACGCCAGGACGGACUGGGGCUACACUGACGACACCAAGGUCACGUCUUCAGUUUUAUUUUAAACAACCUGAGGAGAAAUUGAAUCUACAUUCUACAAAUGCACAUUAAUUUUUGCAUAAAGCUGAUUGUGAUCUGA